rnacentral:misc_RNA from 1 species
AACAUCGCGCACCUGCGGGAACCUGCGGAGGGAUCAUUACAGAGUUGCAAAACUCCCUAUACCAUUGUGAACGUUACCUAAACCGUUGCUUCGGCGGGCGGCCCGGGUCCUUCCCGGCGCCCCUCGGCCCUCGCGGGCGCCCGCCGGAGGUAAACCAAACUAUUGCAUUGUAUGGCCUCUCUGAGUCUUCUGUACUGAAUAAGUCAAAACUUUUAACAAUGGAUCUCAGAUCGGAAGAGC